GACGGAGCAACGCCGCGUGAACGAUGAAGGUCUUCGGAUCGUAAAGUUCUGUUGUUAGGGCAAGAACAAGUACCGUGCGAAUAGAGCCUCACCUUGACGGUACCUAACGAGGAAGCCCCGGCUAACUACGUGCCAGCAGCCGCGGUAAUACGUAGGGGGCAAGCGUUGUCCGGAAUUAUUGGGCGUAAAGCGCGCGCAGGCGGUUCCUUAAGUCUGAUGUGAAAGCCCACGGCUCAACCGUGGAGGGUCAUUGGAAACUGGGGAACUUGAGGACAGAAGAGGAGAGUGGAAUUCCACGUGUAGCGGUGAAAUGCGUAGAUAUGUGGAGGAACACCAGUGGCGAAGGCGACUCUCUGGUCUGUUUCUGACGCUGAGGUGCGAAAGCGUGGGUAGCAAACAGGAUUAGAUACCCUGGUAGUCCACGCCGGAAACGAUGAGUGUUUGGUGUUAGGGGGCUUCCACCCCUUAGUGCUGAAGUUUAAGCAUUAAGCACUCCGCCUGGG
rnacentral:rRNA from 1 species